AAACGCCCGGGUAUUACAAGCGCAAGCUUAAAACCCAAGGGAUUUGACGGUGUCCCACCCACCUAGAGGAGCCUAUUCUAUAAUCGAUAAUCCACGAUACACCUCACCAUUUUUUGCCUUUCUCAGCCUGUAUACCUCCGUCGACAACUUACCAUUUGAAUGCUACAAAGUAGGUUCAACUGGCCUUGCACGCCAAUACGUCAGGUCAAGGUGCAGCCUAUAAAAUGGAAAGCAACGGGCUACAAUUUCUAAAAUAGAACAAACGAAAAACUAUAUGAAAAAUAGUCAUGAAGGCGGAUUUAGUAGUAAAAGAAGAAUAAUAAGCUUCUUUUAAUGAGGCUCUGGGACGUGUACAAACCGCCCGUCACCCUCUUCAACAACUCCCACUAAUUUUUAAUAAAUAACUAGUACUACAGAAGAGGCAAGUCGUAACAUGGUAAGUGUACUGGAAAGUGCACUUGGCUAAACAAAGUGUAGCUUAAUCUAAAGCCUUCCGCUUACACCGAAAAAUUAUCUAUUAAACCUAGAUCACUUUGAGCCUUAAAUCUAGCCAAUAUACUUCGUAUGUAACCCCCCCCACAAAUCAAGAUACAAUAAAACAUUUUAACAGUUGAGUAGAGGUGAU
rnacentral:rRNA from 1 species